GCUCAGGAUGAACGCUGGCGGCGUGCUUAAUACAUGCAAGUCGAACGGAGAGUUUUGUAGUAAUACGAAGCUUCUCAGUGGCGAACGGGCGAGUAACGAGUUGGUGACCUGCCCCGAAGUGUGGGAUAACAGUCCGAAAGGAUUGCUAAUACCGCAUGUGAUCAUUGGUUUUAGAAUCUGAUGAUUAAAGCAGUAAUGCGCUUCGGGAGGGACCUGCUUCCCAUCAGCUAGUUGGUGAGGUAAUGGCCCACCAAGGCUACGACGGGUAAGGGACCUGAGAGGGUGGUCCCUCGCAAUGGCACUGAAACACGGGCCAUACACCUACGGGUGGCAGCAGUAGGGAAUAUUGGGCAAUGGGCGAAAGCCUGACCCAGCAACGCCGCGUGCACGAUGAAGGCCUUCGGGUCGUAAAGUGCUUUUCUGAGGGAUGAGUAAGGACAGUACCUCAGGAAUAAGCCUCGGCUAACUACGUGCCAGCAGCCGCGGUAAAACGUAGGAGGCGAGCGUUAUCCGGAUUUACUGGGCGUAAAGCGUGUGCAGGCGGUUCGGCAAGUUGGAUGUGAAAGCUCCUGGCUUAACUAGGAGAGGUCGUUCAAUACUACCGAACUUGAGGGCAUCAGAGGAAGGUGGAAUUCCCGGUGUAGUGGUGAAAUGCGUAGAUAUCGGGAGGAACACCAGUGGCGAAAGCGGCCUUCUGGGAUGAUCCUGACGCUCAUACACGAAAGCUAGGGUAGCGAACGGGAUUAGAGACCCCGGUAGUCCUAGCAGUAAACGAUGUAGACUUGGUGUCGGAAGUGUCAAAACUUUCGGUAUCGUAGCUAACGCGAUAAGUCUACCGCCU
rnacentral:rRNA from 1 species